rnacentral:tRNA from 3 species
GCCAAUAUGGCUCAGUCGGUAGAGCGACGCACUCGUAAUGCGUAGGUCAGGGGUUCGAAUCCCCUUAUUGGCU